rnacentral:rRNA from 1 species
GGACGAACGCUGGCGGCGCGCCUAACACAUGCAAGUCGAACGAGCGAGAGAGAGCUUGCUUUCUUGAGCGAGUGGCGAACGGGUGAGUAACGCGUGAGGAACCUGCCUCAAAGAGGGGGACAACAGUUGGAAACGACUGCUAAUACCGCAUAAGCCCACGGUUCCGCAUGGCACAGAGGGAAAAGGAGCAAUCCGCUUUGAGAUGGCCUCGCGUCCGAUUAGCUAGUUGGUGAGGUAACGGCCCACCAAGGCGACGAUCGGUAGCCGGACUGAGAGGUUGAACGGCCACAUUGGGACUGAGACACGGCCCAGACUCCUACGGGAGGCAGCAGUGGGGAAUAUUGCACAAUGGGGGAAACCCUGAUGCAGCGACGCCGCGUGGAGGAAGAAGGUCUUCGGAUUGUAAACUCCUGUUGUUGGGGAAGAUAAUGACGGUACCCAACAAGGAAGUGACGGCUAACUACGUG